GAUGAACGCUGGCGGCGUGCCUAAUACAUGCAAGUCGAGCGGAAAGGCCCUUCGGGGUACUCGAGCGGCGGACGGCUGAGUAACGCGUAGGAACGUACCCCAAAGUGAGGGAUAACUGCUCGAAAGAGUAGCUAAUACCGCAUGUGCUCUUCGGAGUAAAGCUUCGGCGCUUUGGGAACGGCCUGCGUCCUAUUAGCUAGUUGGUGAGGUAAUUGCUCACCAAGGCGACGAUAGGUAGCUGGUCUGAGAGGAUGAUCAGCCAGACUGGGACUGAGACACGGCCCAGACUCCUACGGGAGGCAGCAGUAGGGAAUUUUCCACAAUGGGCGAAAGCCUGAUGGAGCAACGCCGCGUGCAGGAUGAAUGCCUUCGGGUUGUAAACUGCUUUUAUAGGUGAAGAAUAUGACGGUAACCUAUGAAUAAGGAUCGGCUAACUCCGUGCCAGCAGCCGCCGUAA
rnacentral:rRNA from 1 species